rnacentral:rRNA from 1 species
UAAAACGUAGGGGACGAGCGUUAUCCGGAUUUACUGGGCGUAAAGCGCAUGUAGGUGGCUUGAAAAGUUGGACGUGAAAGCUCCUGGCUUAACUGGGAGAGGUCGUACAAAACUAGCAAGCUUGAGGUUGGAAGAGGAGAGCAGAAUUCCCGGUGUAGUGGUGGAAUGCGUAGAUAUCGGGAGGAAUACCAGUGGCGAAAGCGGCUCUCUGGUUCAAUACUGACACUGAGAUGCGAAAGCGUGGGGAGCGAACGGGAUUAGAUACCCCGGUAGUCCACGCUGUAAACGAUGGAUACUAGGUGUAGGAGGUCAUUAACCCCUUCUGUGCCGAAGCUAACGCGUUAAGUAUCCCGCCUGGGGACUACGACCGCAAGGUUA